AGUCCAUGUGGGAAUCCCUCCUUCUGCGGGCCUCAGUCUGUCAUCUUCCUUGGAGCAGGACCAAAUAAAUAAGAUAAAGUCACAAUUUCUCAUCCUUCUUCACUCAACUUUUCUUUGAGGAGAGAAUACGGCAGUUUCAAGGACAAGGGAUUUGUACCACUGCUCCUCACUCAAUAAACAGCAGAGACAGAAUUUGAACCACUUUACCUUCUUUCCUGCCCAGCUGUUGAAAUAUCAAACUGUACUAAGAUUUUGGCCAUGAUGGACUCUGUUCUCUGCACACUAACAUAUUUAUCUUCCUGGUCAUCAGUAGAAAUAUUAAUAAAUAAUAUUGGUUGCCA
rnacentral:sRNA from 1 species